GGCCACUGGUGGAGUGCGAUGACGCAAAGACUCGAAAAUGACGUCAUGAGCUCAUUCUGAACACUAGGAAGGGGGAACGUUAGAAAAAUACCAAGCAAAGAGAAACUGAUUUGACAUGUAUUUCAUAAAUGGAGGAGAAGAUGUAUGUGUCUGAAUAUGGAAGAGUUAACCAAGAUGAAUGAUGUUAUCCAGGUACCACUCUGCCCCUAAAGAAACAGUGUCUCUCUAAGAGGAAUCACACAGGGAAAGUUCAUUUGCUUGCUCCCUCCUUGCUUCCUGACAGGAAGUCAGCUGUCAGCCAGCCAGCCAGGAAGACAACCCUCCUCCCGACCUGGCUACACUUGUACCCUCACCUUGCUUUCCACUCUCCAAAACUGUGAGAAAUUUCACGAUGACAUCCUAAACUGAAAAUUACACAGAGAAGAAAGAAAGUGUAUUUAUACAGCCUUGUAUGGUAACAAGCCACUUUGAAAAGUA
rnacentral:sRNA from 1 species